rnacentral:rRNA from 1 species
AUUGAACGCUGGCGGCAGGCUUAACACAUGCAAGUCGAGCGAGCGGCGGACGGGUGAGUAAUGUCUGGGAAACUGCCUGAUGGAGGGGGAUAACUACUGGAAAAGGUAGCUAAUACCGCAUACCAUCAGAUGUGCCCUGAUGGGAUUAGCUAGUCGGUGGGGUAAUGGCUAACCUAGGCGACGAUCCCUAGCUGGUCUGAGAGGAUGAUCAGUCACACUGGAACUGAGACACGGUCCAGACUCCUACGGGAGGCAGCAGUGGGGAAUAUUGGACAAUGGGCGAAAGCCUGAUCCAGCCAUGCCGCGUGUGUGAAGAAGGUCUUCGGAUUGUAAAGCACUUUAAGUUGGGAGGCGUUACCAACAGAAUAAGCACCGGCUAACUUCGUGCCAGCAGCCGCGGUAAUUC